AAAUGUCCACAUGUGAAGAGCCCGUAGACAUUGGAUGAGACGAUUUGUCCAUGACACUGUUUGAACUACAACUUUGUCAGAGGUCUGAGGAGAGGCAUGCAUGAGCCUGUGGAAGUCAGAAGAGGCCAUUGGAUCCCACACAACUGGAGUUCCAGUUGGGAGGUCUGACUCUGAUGAUCACAGGAACAGAUCCAGCUAGCUACCUCAUCCUUGAACUACGGAGUCAUCUUUAUCCAACUUCAGACAAACCUCUGUCCUGCUGUGUCCCAAUGUCAGCCAUGACUUCUUUUGCUUCUCCUGUUUUUUUUUGUUUUUGUUUUUUGGGAGGGGUCACAGAUGAAAAUGUCAGAGUCUCUGAGCUGAGCUAG
rnacentral:lncRNA from 1 species